GUCUAUGACCAUACCACCCUGAAUGCACCUGAUCCCGUCUGAUCUCGAAAGCUAAGCAGGGUCGGGCCUGGUUAGUACUUGGAUGGGAGAAAGAAUGAGCAUGCCAGGUCUUCUAGCUA
rnacentral:rRNA from 1 species